GAAAGAUUUGGUCCUAACCUUAUUGUUACUUUUUGCU
rnacentral:rRNA from 1 species